rnacentral:rRNA from 1 species
GCGGCAAACGGGUGAGUAAUAUCUGGGAAUCUACCCAAAAGAGGGGGAUAACUACUAGAAAUGGUAGCUAAUACCGCAUAAAGUUGAAAAACCAAAGUGGGGGACCUUUACUGGCCUCAUGCUUUUGGAUGAGCCCAGAGGAGAUUAGCUUGUUGGUAAGGUAAAAGCUUACCAAGGCAACGAUCUCUAGCUGGUCUGAGAGGAUAACCAGCCACACUGGAACUGAGACACGGUCCAGACUCCUACGGGAGGCAGCAGUGGGGAAUAUUGCACAAUGGGCGAAAGCCUGAUGCAGCUAUGCCGCGUGUAUGAAGAAGGCCUUAGGGUUGUAAAGUACUUUCAGCGGGGAGGAAAAAAAUAAAAUUAACAAUUUUAU